GACGAACGCUGGCGGCGUGCCUAACACAUGCAAGUCGAGCGGAGAUGUACUGAAGAUUUAUCGGAUGUACAUCUUAGCGGCGGACGGGUGAGUAACGCGUGGGCAACCUGCCUUCCACUGGGGGAUAACACAGGGAAACCUGUGCUAAUACCGCAUGACAUCACAUAGGGCAUCCUGUGUGAUCAAAGGAGUGAUCCGGUGGAAGAUGGGCCCGCGUCCGAUUAGCUAGUUGGUGAGGUAACGGCUCACCAAGGCGACGAUCGGUAGCCGGACUGAGAGGUUGGCCGGCCACAUUGGGACUGAGACACGGCCCAGACUCCUACGGGAGGCAGCAGUGGGGAAUAUUGCGCAAUGGGGGGAACCCUGACGCAGCGACGCCGCGUGAAGGAAGAAGGCCUUCGGUUGUAAACUUCUUUCGAUGAGGGUACGAAGGAAGUGACGGUACCGUCUAAAACGAACGACCACGGCUAACUACGUCGCCAGCAGCCGCGGUAACUAGUC
rnacentral:rRNA from 1 species